rnacentral:tRNA from 1 species
GCGGGGGUAGCCAAGUGGUCAAAGGCGGUAGAAUCUUGACCUACUCCCUUAGAGUUAGAGGAAUGGGUUCCAGGGUUCGAAUCCCUGCCCCCGCA